GCUCGGGCCGUGGCUUGGCUGACAGGGAGUCCCUGAUUGGCUAAGGGUCGUACCACAGGGAGCCUACAGCCAGUUCAAAAAGCAGCUGCGCCACAGCUCUUGGCUGCUGCUAGGCCAUGUGCACACAGACCGGUGCUGCGCUGACGCUCCCACGCCACCAUGGGGGAGAGCGUCCAGGAGGAAAAUGACUGCUACGGACCCUUCAACUCCCAGACGGAUUCUGUGAAGGCGCUGCCCAUAUCCCAUACCUAAUGUUGUUGGUGGUCGUCUUCUCUUUCAGGGAACCAGGGUUAUGCCCACUAUAGCGUUUCUACAUCCCAUUGAGAACCAUAAAACCAGGGGUACAGCCACUGAUUGAAGACACCUAUUAAACUUGAAGGAUGGAGGAUUUCCAGGGCCAGGGUUGAACGUGAAUCAGAGACCUUGGCUAACAUGGCUGUGUUGUGUUUUAAAAUCCACCACUGAAAGUCAGUCAACAGGUGCUACUCACCGAACUGUUAAAUUCAUCGAUGAGCCACCAGACUCACCGGGAUAAAAAGCUGUGGAGAUUCACCAUAAACAACAUGGACGCCUCCAUGGAAUCUGUGAGCAUGGACCGGGGGGAGACUAAAUGAAAUAAUUUAGUGGACUCUGAGGCCGCAAAUCGUUUGGAAAUGGCAAGUAACAGAAGUCCCACCGAAGCCCAUUGAUUUUUAGCUUCAAUUUAAGUUUUCAAAUUAAAAAGUAAAGACAUGUAGAAUUUAAGUUGAUGUAUAGAUUACACUAUUAUGAUUUAAUCUUGGUGUUUAAUGUCAAAGCGAUUUAAGUUGAUUCAUUUUUUAAAAAUAAAACUAUAAAAAAAAAAUUAACAAAAAAACAU